UACGGGGGGGGGCAAGCGUUGUUCGGAAUUACUGGGCGUAAAGGGCUCGUAGGCGGCCAACUAAGUCAGACGUGAAAUCCCUCGGCUUAACCUGGGAACUGCGUCUGAUACUGGGAGGCUUGAGUAUGGGAGAGGGAUGUAGAAUUCCAGGUGUAGCGGUGAAAUGCGUAGAUAUCUGGAGGAAUACCGGUGGCGAAGGCGGCAUCCUGGACCAUAACUGACGCUGAGGCGCGAAAGCUAGGGGAGCAAACGGGG
rnacentral:rRNA from 1 species